CCAUGCCCCAUCCUCUCCCUGCACCUGCCUCCCCCCGCGCCCCGGGAGCAGCCGGCGAGUCGGGGCGCGGAGCCGGAGCCCACCAUGGGCCGCCUGCGCUGCAUCAAGUUCCUGCUCUUCGCCUUCAACUUCGCCUUCUGGCUGGCAGGGUUGGCUGUCAUUGCCUUUGGACUAUGGUUGCGAUUUGGUGGGGUCCUGAGAGACUUAACCUCAGAGGAAAAAUCCCCAGAGUACUUCUACAUGGGGCUCUAUGUGCUGGUGGGAGCAGGGGCGCUGAUGGUGACAGUUGGAUUUUUUGGGUGCUGUGGAGCAGUGCGGGAGUCUCAGUACCUGCUUGGAGCGUUUUUUGCCUGCUUGCUGGUGAUAUUUGCUGCUGAAGUCACCGCUGGAGUGUUUGCAUUCAUAGGCAAAAAAGCGGCAGUACAGGAGGUCCAGACCAUCUAUGAAGAAGCUUAUAAAGACUAUGUGAUGGACAUGGGGAAGAGUAACGAAACUCUCAUUCAGUUCCACACAGCUCUUCAAUGCUGUGGUAAAGAAAGUGAGCUUCAGGUGAAGCCCACCUGUCCAGAGGGCAUCCAGGUGCCCAAGAACUGCCUGGAUGAAAUCCAGAAUUUAAUUAACUCGAAUCUGCAUUUAGUUGGAAUCGUUGGAAUUGGAAUUGCUGGCAUCACAAUCUUUGGCAUGAUAUUCAGCAUGGUUCUCUGCUGUGCUAUCCGCAAUACAAGGGACAUGCUCUAAAACUCACUGCACAAUUUCUAUGCUCCGGGACUUCCAGGCUUUACAAGACUUUACAAGAUGCAUUCUCAGAGUUUAAUAAUUGUAAUACAUUUUUGAUUAGUGUUUUAACCAACUGAGAGGAAAAGGCCUCAUUUGCAACACGGAGUCAGCCCGGAGAUGCCCACUUCUGCUUUUGAGAUGCACCAGUACACGAAUUGAUGCUUGCAGAAAACUUUUUGCUUGUUUACCUCUAAGUGCCUUUUAGAAACAGAGACGAGUGCCAGUAAGAAAAAUAUUUCAAUACAUUCAGACUUGAGUCACCUUGCUUUCUAAUGAAAUAGUUUUUUUCUAUACAGUGCUUUCAUAUUUAUAUACAUAACAGUUAUGUGUACUCUGGGUUCUAAUGCUAUCCAGAAAUAUUGGAUGCACUUUGUACUGAAGAUCAGGAAUAUAAUGGUACCAGUUAUUGGUUUAAUUCUCUGGAUUAUUAUUGUGCAUCAGGCCAGGAAGCAGCAUAUUUAAAAUGUCUAUCAGGGCCUUUAACAAAGUGUGGCCUUCCCAUCUUGCUAUUUCAUGCUGUUGUUUUGUAGACAGUAUAUUACUGCAUAAGUAACAGUUUCCUCUAUCCUGUAUUAGCAUUUGAAGGACAUUUUACUCUGAUCCAGUGGUUACUAGCAAUAGGAGGUGAAAUUACUAUCUUAUUCUUGCUGGCCCUUAUAACUAUUAUUAGGAUUCUUCUGUAGUGCUUUACAAGCAAUAACUAAUUAGACCCUUCCUUGGCAUUUCUGUGGCUAGACUGAGCAAUCCUGUUUAUAGUACAGUUGUGGUUGAGCUAUAAAUCCUACCCUGACAUCUGGGAAGAAAAAUACUCUCAGUUUCUGUGGAAAUAUGCCCCAUUCGUUGUGCUGCUUCCCCUUUGGUUUAAAUCUGGCACUCUCAUUUUAUUUCCAAACUCUGCACUUCUGCCAGAUGGCACAGCACUCUUCCCAACAUGCUCCAUCUGGCUACAAUAAGGAAACUUUCUAUAGCAUCUGAAUCAAAACCACUCAAAAAUAUAGUCUGUGCUAGAAAAUCAGCACAUCAGGAUUGAAUUCAUUCAACCCAAUUCUGUCCUCAGAUACGUAUGUGCACAAGAACAUCCAAUGCACCGAUCAGCUCAGGGCUCCCU